rnacentral:rRNA from 1 species
UACGGAGGGAGCUAGCGUUGUUCGGAAUUACUGGGCGUAAAGCGCGCGUAGGCGGCUUUGUAAGUUAGAGGUGAAAGCCCGGAGCUCAACUCCGGAAUUGCCUUUAAGACUGCAUCGCUUGAAUCAUGGAGAGGUCAGUGGAAUUCCGAGUGUAGAGGUGAAAUUCGUAGAUAUUCGGAAGAACACCAGUGGCGAAGGCGGCUGACUGGACAUGUAUUGACGCUGAGGUGCGAAAGCGUGGGGAGCAAACAGG